UUUGAUCCUGCCGGAGGCCAUUGCUAUUGGGAUCCGAUUUAGCCAUGCUAGUCGCACGAGUUCAGACUCGUGGCGAAUAGCUCAGUAACACGUGGCCAAACUACCCUUCGGAACACAAUACCCUCGGGAAACUGAGGCUAAUAGUGUAUCCCAUACCACCACUGGAAUGAGUGGUAUGCCAAACGCUCCGGCGCCGAAGGAUGUGGCUGCGGCCGAUUAGGUAGACGGUGGGGUAACGGCCCACCGUGCCAAUAAUCGGUAUGGGUCAUGAGAGUGAGAACCCAGAGACGGAAUCUGAGACAAGAUUCCGGGCCCUACGGGGCGCAGCAGGCGCGAAACCUUUACACUGCACGACAGUGCGAUAGGGGGAUCCCAAGUGCACAGGCAUAGCGCCUGUGCUUUUCGGCACCCUAAGGCGGUGCCAGAAUAAGGGCUGGGCAAGACCGGUGCCAGCCGCCGCGGUAAUACCGGCAGCCCAAGUGAUGGCCGAUCUUAUUGGGCCUAAAGCGUCCGUAGCUGGCCGCGCAAGUCCAUCGGGAAAUCCACCUGCUCAACAGGUGGGCGCCCGGUAGAAACUGCGUGGCUUGGGACCGGAAGGCGCGACGGGUACGUCCGGGGUAGGAGUGAAAUCCCGUAAUCCUGGACGGACCGCCGAUGGCGAAAGCACGUCGCGAGAACGGAUCCGACAGUGAGGGACGAAAGCCAGGGUCUCGAACCGGAUUAGAUACCCGGGUAGUCCUGGCCGUAAACAAUGUCUGCUAGGUGUGGCUCCCACUACGAGUGGGUGCUGUGCCGUAGGGAAGCCGCUAAGCAGACCGCCUGGGAAGUACGUCCGCAAGGAUGAAACUUAAAGGAAUUGGCGGGGGAGCACUACAACCGGAGGAGCCUGCGGUUUAAUUGGACUCAACGCCGGACAUCUCACCAGCAUCGACUGUGGUAAUGACGAUCAGGUUGAUGACCUUAUCCGAGCCUCAGAGAGGAGGUGCAUGGCCGCCGUCAGCUCGUACCGUGAGGCGUCCUGUUAAGUCAGGCAACGAGCGAGACCCGCACCCUUACUUGCCAGCAGUACCGCGAGGUAGCUGGGGACAGUAGGGGGACCGCCGUGGCUAACACGGAGGAAGGAACGGGCAACGGUAGGUCAGUAUGCCCCGAAUGUGCUGGGCAACACGCGGGCUACAAUGGUCGAGACAAAGGGUUCCUACUCCGAAAGGAGACGGUAAUCUCAGAAACUCGAUCGUAGUUCGGAUUGUGGGCUGCAACUCGCCCACAUGAAGCUGGAUUCGGUAGUAAUCGCGUGUCACAAGCGCGCGGUGAAUACGUCCCUGCUCCUUGCACACACCGCCCGUCAAAGCACCCGAGUGAGGUCCGGAUGAGGCGUUCCACGAACGUCGAAUCUGGGCUUCGCAAGGGGGCUUAAGUCGUAACAAGGUAGCCGUAGGGGAAUCUGCGGCUGG
rnacentral:rRNA from 2 species